AAGGGCCUCUCCUCCCAUUGAUGACUGACUAGGCCUGACUAGGCCAUCCUCUGCUACAUAUGCAGCUGAACCUUGAGUCCCACCAUGUGUUUUCUUUGGUUGCUGGCAGGGAGCUCUGGGGGUACUGAUUAGUUCAUAUUGUUGUUCCUCCUAGGGGACUGCAAACCCCUUCAGCUUCUUGGGUACUUUCUCUAGCUCCUUCAUUGGGGACCCUGUGCUCCGUCCAGUGGAUGGCUGUGAGCAUCCACUUCUGUAUUUUUCAGGCACUGGCAGAGUCUCUCAAGAGGCAGCUAUAUCAGGCUCCUGUCAGCAAGCUCUUGUUGGCAUCCACAAUAGUGUCUGGGUUUGGUGGUGGUUUAUGGGAUGGAUCCUCAGGUGGGGCAGUCUCUGGAUGGUCAUUCCUUCCGUUUCUGCUCUGAACUUGUCUCUGUAACUCUUUCCAUGGGUAUUUUGUUCCCCUUCUAAGAAGGCUCAAAGUGGGGUCAGUAUUUCUUAAAUAUUGUAAAUAUACUAGGUGAUUACCUAUUCAGCCUUGAACUCUCUUUGGAAAUAAUGUGAUCCAGGUUUUGAACAUCGUUAUAGCUGCUUACUUGCUGCUUUAGUUUUAGGCAAGGCAGUUUGUUCAUCUGUAAAGUGGAGGGGAUUAUACUUAACUUGAACAUUUACAUAUGGCUAAGAUUUAUUGAGCAGCUUGGCUCACAGUUGUCUGUUAGCUGCAGUUCCAAGGAAUCUAGUGACCUCUUCUGGCUUCCGUGGGUAUCUGCAUGCACAUGGUACAUGUAUAGCACAUAGCCUCUCUUGCACACCAACAUUUAGAAUUAGAUAUCCUAAGUUUUCCAUUGCAAUGUAGAAUUUAACUUCUUAGCUUUGCACACAGCUUACUCAAGAGUUUCAUGCAGAACCCAGCCAGAGGAUCUCAUCGCUUGCCCUAAUGACUCUGUGUCUGGCUCUUCAGCUUCUUAGCUGCAUAUGCUGGUUUAUACUCGUAGUCCUUGCAAUUAGAAUGUUGAGGCAGGAGGAAGAUUGCUGUAAUUUCAAGGCCUUGGCUACAGAGUGAAACUGUCUCAGAAAAAGAAAGUAGAAACAUAACCCUUAGUUUCUUCCUGGAUAAGAUAAGUCUAGCAUACCUUCUGUACUCUGUAUAUCUUAGUUGAUUGGAAAAAUCCAAAGUCCUCUAUAAACUAAAUUAGUAAUAGUAGCUGAAUAUGUCCAUUUCCCCAAAUGGGAAAAAAGCUGCUCUAACUAAUGUUAACUUUGAUAUGAUUCUUCAUCUCUUAGUUCAAUUUUAUGAGGCAUAAGAUAAUUCCAGGCCAUGAAAACUAGGAUAGAAUUUAUUUUACUGGGAAUGGCUUUCUUCCUCUACAAAGCUAUGUGGUAAGUGACUAUAGAAUCCAUGAAGAUCAAUCUUAACCAGAACCUGGGGAAUUGUUGCACGGUGUGGAAAGGGAGAGGAAGGGAGGCCCCAGCUGAGCUCAGAAGGUGAGAAUGAGGGAUUAGAACAUGGCCUGGCUGACUAUGUGACCUGCUCUGGCUUUCUAUAGCUAGAGCUGUGCUGAUUUUUAUUAUUGAGUUGUAUGUUUUGAUUUUAUUCUUCAUAGCAAACUAGUAUGGUUAUUAGGAAAUAGAAAACAGAACUUAAAACUCAGAACUUGUCAUCUUUGAUCAUUUCCUUCUCCUAUAUAGAUAAAUGGAUGCAACAAUCUCUUAGGUACUGGUGUUAUAUAGAAUUUGCCCAAGGGUAACUAAAAUCUUGUUUUAUUUUUUUCCUUGCUAUGUAUUUUCUGUGUGACCAUGGCCAAUAUUUUUAUUUUCAUCAAGCUUUAUUGAGUUCCUUAUAAAAUUGUAGAUCUCACCCUUAGUUUUGCAUUCUAGCUUCUUGAACUGCAGUUUUUGUUGUUAUAUUUGUUUGUUUGUUUUUGAUUCUGUUGUAUGGUAGUUAAUAUGGUUCACUCUUGAUCAGUGCUGGUCAAUAUUAGUUCACUUGUUUUGUACCAUGAUCCUGAUGGUUCAGUGUAUUUUUUUCUUCCCAGGUUUUCUGUGCUUCCUGCUGCAGCCUAAAAUGCAAACUGCUGUACAUGGACAGAAAGGAAGCCAGAGUGUGUGUAAUCUGUCACUCAGUGCUGAUGAAUGGUACGUAUUGAAACAGCUGGAUGCAGUCACUGGGCAGUGCAGAGAAUUCCUAUGAAAAGUCCCUUUUCCCCUGUUCACCUUCCCGAAUGCCAUAACUGUAACUGAAAACCCUGAGCUUAGUCUCCGUGCUUUGAAAGUAUGUUAGCUUUGCAGAGCUCCUCUGUCAGAUUUAAUGAGCUAAUGCUAAGGCUAGGUAGGUUCUGUGGGAAGAGUGAAGCCUUUGAGAAAGUGGUGUUGGGUAACUCUGCAUGUCCCUGUCAGAUGAUGAGAGGGGCGGGCUGGUGUGUGUUGACUACAUAGCUAUGAGACUUUAAAAUUGGGCCAAGGUUCUCCUCAGAACUUACUUUCUUAACAAUGUUAAUUUUCUUAGAAAUAAGUAUUUUAGCAUCAAGUGUCAAGUAGAAAUUUGUGCAUUUAUUUGCCAGUUAUUUCUGAAAAAACAAUAUCUUUUACAUGGGAAAAGAAUAUAGCCAAGAGAAGGAAGAUAAAACUUAAUCAUUAUUCAUCUUUUAUGGGACUAGAAAUUAAUCCAUGGACAUUUUAGUU
rnacentral:lncRNA from 1 species